GCCCUGUCGAGAGGAUCUGAAGUGGUUCAGGUUUUGUAGCACGCGGGGUUUCUGAGCAAAGGAAGCUGCUCUUCAGUGAGAAUGUGGCUCUUGAGAGGAAGGUGGUACCGGCGGUGACCUGCAUGGCACAAGGCUGCAGGGGGGAAGGAGCCGGUCCUCUGCCCCGAGUCUUCUGCUGGAGCCUGCCUCGGCCGUGCCCUCCCCUCCUGCUGCUCCUCUCCAGGAGAUGUGUCCCACCUGCGCUCGCUGAGACCAUCCCUGGCACCUCUGCUCUGCAUCAGCUCCAGCCGCUGAGCUGGCAUCCCGGAUGCAACAGCAUUAAGGCUGCUCUGUGCCUUGUGCAAUCCUCCUGCCCUUGAGAUGAAUCUCAACCCAACUGAACCAUGGCAAGAGUCUGCUGGGGCGCGCUGCCUGAGCUUGCAGCGGGCUCUCCGCAAACACCGCUCCCUCUGAUUCCAGUCGGCACUAUGGCUGUGGGACAUUCGAGCUGUGAUUUAUGUCCCACAAGAAAGUGCUGCAUCAUGUAUUUAGGGUAAGGUGCUGAGUAUCAUUCGCUCUUGACAACCGUGGGGUUUAGAAGAAAUAAUGCAUGCAACCUUUUAAUUUUGUAAGGUCAUUCCUUAGUUUCUUUUGUUUUAUUAAUACUUAUUCAGUAGCAGAAGUACAGAAGGAAAAGUGCUGAGGUCUAGGUGCAUGAGAAAAGCAGGAUCAAGCCUUUAAUUUUGCACUUUUAAACUCUAAAGGCUCAGUUUUGCUCGUGCAAAAUUCGCUCGUCCCCUCACGUGCUGCUGUUGGCGCUGCAUUUGCUGGGCAGGGGUGAUGUAUCUCUGGGUGGUGGAGGGGAGUCUAGCUCCAAAAGGGAGAUCCGCCUAAACAACUUGCAAGGUAUAAAAUACUUUGAUUUGGAUUUCAAAAACUAAUGAGGUACAGUUAUGAUCUGUGUAAGAGCUUCAAUGAAGCGGAUAAUUUGGAUGGUGGCCUUCUUUCUCCCAUGAAUUCUAGUAUACGAGGCAUGUCUCAGCAACAAGCAGUUCCAUUUUCUACCUCAUGGCAGGCUGGCUUCUGGAAACUUGGUAUUUCCAGGUAUUUCAGCACUAGCAUUUAGAUACUUGUGUCUCCUUACAAGUUUUUGUACUUGUAUUUAAACAGCAAACAGACUGUCAGUAAGACAUGGUUUGUGUGAACACUCUUCAUAAAAGACUAUUACAAAAGCAAACAGAUCGAUCACUCCCGGCUUCACGGUUGGGAAGUAAGAACAAAAUGAGGCUUAAAUAGCGACGAGUCAAUGCAGCGAUGAAGUGCCUAUUUAUCGGUAAAUAAAGGCUGGCUGCCACUGCCUGCUUCGAAGCCCCUGUGCCCCCGAGGGGGUUCGGAAAGUGGUGAUGCAAACUGAUGAGUCACAGUUUAGAACAAUAGUUUCUUCAUGCAAAAUGACUCAGGAUAAAAGAAAAACAGGUUUUUCAAGAAGCUGAAGCCUGUGAAAUUA